AGCAUUAACAUAAGUGUGAAAUGACGCGCAUCCGACAUUAACAACCUCCCCCCCAACCCUCCCGAAAACGAGAUGAAUGACCCAACGACAAAGGAAAGGAACACACAUUUUAAACGUUUACGUGUUUUUAAAAAUCAGAUCGUUCAAAGUUAGCCACACGCCCAAAACUAUUUGCCAUCAGCCAAUUGGUUACGAACAAAAUACUAACGACCGACGGGUUUAAAAUCAUCGGCAUUACGCAAUUAAACAGGUAAGACAAUAAAAUACAUUUAAUUUUCUUUUAUUAUUUCAGAAAACCACGUUUUAUUGGAUUCAUCUGCUGCAAAGUAUGCGUAGGAGCGUGAUUUCAAUUUAUGGGAUUUGUUUGUCAUUUAAACUAUAACUACUAUAAUGCAAACACGAAAAAUGGUUUUUGAAAUAAUCGAAUUAAAUUCACCAAUUGUCAAACGUACUAUUUCGUAACUAGGAAAGGUUAGUUCAAUGGAGAAGACAUGAAAUAAUGCAUUAAAAAGGAUGCAUAACACGACAUUUCAUUUGUGACAAAAAUUUAAGUAAGAGAUUUUUUAAUGUAUGUAAACUUGAAACAUGAAAACAAUCUGUUUCUUAGUUUUUUACAUUAUUGAUGGUUUUUCUUCUUUGAAAUUUGUAGCUACAUCAUCUUGCACUAAAAUUUUAACAUAAUUUUUAUUUAGAAUAAUUUAUACCCAAGUAUUUAUGUAAUUUUGCGAGGUAUAAAAAAUCCUUAGUGGCCAUCUGUUGACUUUCCAUUUGGUUUACUUAUUUAAUAAUAAUUGAUAUCCAAUAAUAAAUUCCCUUUUAAUUUUACUAAAUAAUGUGAUAACUGAUUACAUUUUAGAAUAUGUAUUUAUAUGAUUUCUAAUAAUAGUUUUUUCUUUUUUGUCAACUGUUUUUCAAUUUGUUUUCGUCGUUUGUAUUUUUCUGUACUUUUAAAACCCAUUUACUUUUCUUCUAGGUAUGGUUGUAUUAAUCUUGUUUACAUUUUUGUUUGCAGUGUUUUUUGUAUGUUGAUUAAGUAUUGCAAAUUAUUUGUUUCCAACCAGGCCUGUUCUUACUUAAUAAUUUUGUAUUCAAUAUUAGUACUAUUGUUAAUUGUGGGAUUUUGAAAAGAUGAGUUGGUUCUUUCUCUCUCUAAAAAAAAGUAAAUAUUAGUAAGCAUAAGUUAAUGUUUUUAUCACAAUAUUUAUAACAAAUAUUACAUUAAAGAACAAGUGGAAAAAGGGUGUUUUGUAAGAUAUGUAAAUAAGUGACUGUUCCCAUAAAAAAUAGAUUAAAAACUUAAAUUGUACCAAAAAUAGUGUAGAUCUUUCUUCUUAAGACAAUGUUAGCAUAGUAUUUGUUAUCUCUCUCUAAACCCACACGCAACAUAGCAAAUUUCACGUUCACAAUAUUGACUAUAACCAUAAUCAUUUCUCAAAUUGGAGUGAAAAUAGUGAAAUGACUUCUUAUAAAAUUUAAAGUUAAGAACAUUAUCUAAGGCAGCGCUUCUCAACCUGUGGUACCCGUACCACUAGUGUUCGCGGAAAUCUCAUAGAGGGUAUAUGAAGAAAACUCCCUUUAUAGAAAAAAUUGGAUUGAAUCAUUAUUAACAUUAAAUAUUAUUUGGUUUAUUUGGUGAUGUGAAAGUCGUUUGUAAUCGUAAUAAUAAAUAAUAAUAAUUGUACAUAUUUAAUUUAA